rnacentral:rRNA from 1 species
AGUGAACGCUGGCGGUAGGCCUAACACAUGCAAGUCGAACGGCAGCACAGUAAGAGCUUGCUCUUACGGGUGGCGAGUGGCGGACGGGUGAGGAAUACAUCGGAAUCUACUUUUUCGUGGGGGAUAACGUAGGGAAACUUACGCUAAUACCGCAUACGACCUACGGGUGAAAGCAGUGGAUCUUCGGACCUUGCGCGAUUGAAUGAGCCGAUGUCGGAUUAGCUAGUUGGCGGGGUAAAGGCCCACCAAGGCGACGAUCCGUAGCUGGUCUGAGAGGAUGAUCAGCCACACUGGAACUGAGACACGGUCCAGACUCCUACGGGAGGCUGCAGUGGGGAAUAUUGGACAAUGGGCGCAAGCCUGAUCCAGCCAUACCGCGUGGGUGAAGAAGGCCUUCGGGUUGUAAAGCCCUUUUGUUGGGAAAGAAAAGCAGCAGGUUAAUACCCCGCUGUUCUGACGGUACCCAAAGAAUAAGCACCGGCUAACUUCGUG